rnacentral:siRNA from 1 species
UGUCCAGCUAAUAAGUGCACUGCA